rnacentral:lncRNA from 1 species
UCCUUUGUUGAAUGAAGGGAGUCUGGUUGCUAAAAAGUGAGUUUUCUUAAUCAGUAUGUAUGGCCCCUCUGCACAUGCUGUUUCUUCGUAUUUAUGAGGCCCUCAAGCUUUGUCAGUUUUCUGAUAGAUAUGGAAUUUUAAUUUGAUAGUCCCAACAACGGUGGGUAUUGAUGGAGCUAUCUAUUAUUUAUUGUCAAUCUGUAAUACUUUUGUCAGCUUCUAGCAUGUCGUUGCUCUGCCAGAGUGCAAUUUUCUCUGCAUGGCAUACACCAGUUACCAUUAGUUGAUAUGUUUGUUGAAGUUUUAUUGCAAGUUAAAUAAAUGUGGUGUGGCAUACUGAUUAUUAUAGUUUGAUAAUGUCAGGCGCCGAUGGCUUUAGAUAUGUAAAUAAAAUAUGGUGAUUGUCACCGGCAUGUAGUGUGGCAUACUAAUCAAAUGACUAAGCAUUUAAUUAUUGUUCUGUUAUGUUAUUGAUUUCACCGGCUUUAUGUCGGCCGAUUAGUUCUGAAGGAUUCCACAUCGGCUAAUUUAGAUUAUGUUACUAGAGUAUUAGAAGAAGUUCCUGAUAUAUGUAUUUAGAGCAUUUGCGGAGAUUUGAUACAAAAUAUUGAUGACCAGGCAUUAUACUGCGCAUAAGCACAAUUUUUUAGUUUUUCUUUUUAUUGUUGCAGCAGCUUUUCUAUAGCAAUAGCCAAAUAGUGUGACAUAACACUAUUCCAUUUUCACAGGCCAUAACACAUCUUUACAUGUAAGUUUGUUCUCUAGAUAGUUCUCUUUCCAAGAUUUUCAUAUCAUAUUUGUUGUGGGAUCUGACUGCUUUACCAUAUUUUCCUGGUGUGGACGAUGUUAUAGAGUGAGCUACCAUCACUUCUCAUUACUGACUGUAAUCUAUGUGUUUAUGCCAUAAAAGAUGGAUAUUUGUCGAAGCCAUUGUCGUGUCAUGUAAUUACCUGGAGAUCAGCUAUUUAGUUUUGUUCAGAUUGUAAAGUGGAAAUGACAACUCCCGUGUGAUUGUCAUUUGAUUAUUUACUUCCUCAAGUAGUAUGGAUAUGGUGCUGCCAGGAUAUUAAGUAUAUUCAUGAAGUUGUAUAAACCACGUUCUACGAUUCACUUCUGUUAUGCAUUUUUACUUUCCAGUUUUAGGACUGAAAUCCAUCCAUUGUAAUGAACUUGGUUGUAUGGGCAUUUACCUAUUUGACUUAGGCUUGCUUCAUCACAUAUAGACUGCUUUUCUUUUCCCCACUGCUUGUAUGACCUAAAACUAUCAUGUAUAUGAGGCAAGUUAUUAGCAAUGUUUCACAUUUUCUUACUUGCAAUACUGUGCUUGCCUAUUUCAG